rnacentral:lncRNA from 1 species
CCUGGGUUAAAUUGUUAAGUAUUUGGAGGAUGGCCUGGGUAAAAGCCCGAAGAGCAGGGGCUGGAACUUCAGUGAGUGAAAUCAGGUGCCUGGGGUCAGGGUUCCAGGCUUGCCAGCUGUCUUUCCUGACUAAUCUGGGCCUCCUAGUGCUGAGUGUGAAGCCAGGGAAGGGACUCCUCCCGCAAGACUUCCAUCUCAGAACCUGGAGCACUCAGCUUGGCCUCACAGACCUGCUCUCUCCUUGCUUCUCUGCGUUGCCUUUGCAUUUGCAGGCAAUCUGCAAGCUAGAGCAAGCAGUUCGGUAUCAAAACGCCAUGCAAAAUGUUCCUACAGCUUCCCUAAAGCCAGCGAUGUCAACUGAUGGGAUAUUCUGUCUGUCUGAUCAGGCAGUGGGAGCGUGACCUGCACUUCUAGCUUCUGCCUGGAACUCUCACCGUUUCACACAGUGCAGACAGCACUUCCUCCCUGGCAAUGAAGGUGCAAGCUACUACAAAUGGAAGAUAUAUAAGAGGCUGGGAAGCAAAGGACAGAGGAAUGCCUCUCUACAUUUAUUUUUCCACUACCCAACAGGUUUUCAGAGAUGGGGAAAAUGAAGAGCCUGGAUCAUUUCACAAGAGGCCCAGAGAGAAGGGAACCCAGCCUCAUGCCCUCCAACUGGCACCUAGGUUUUCAUAUCCAUGACAACUGGCUACUUUCUCUGAGCACACCAACAAAUCCUCUGCCUUCCUCUUGGCUUUCUUUUUGGCUUCACUUCACAAAGAACAGAAAAAUGUUGCUGGAUUGCAAACUUCAAGAUAAUUCAACAAAUGUCUCUUGAGAAAAUCUCUGUAUAAGAAUUUUUAAAUCAGAGCCAAGUUGCGGGGGGUGGUUAGUGUUUUUCCUGACUCAGCAACUCCACACAUUCCCUCCAAAUGGACAGGCUAGCUGCUGGGCAGAAGAGGAGAAUGGGGGCACAGGUAACCUGUGACAGUUAACCUCUUCAUGGUGUAGUGUGGAAAGCACACCUCUGGGUGUGUCUUGGAGGGUGCUUCCGAAAAGGAUUAAUGAGGAGAGAACCCACUUUGAAUGUGGACGUCCCAACCAAAGCCUGGGGGCUCAGAUGGAACAAAGCAGGGAGAAGACAGAGCCCUGGUUCUUCCUCUUUGUUUUCUGGCCAUCAUAGAGGACUCUUCUGCUAAUAAACCCUCCAGCCUUGAGGGAUUGACACCUCUAAAACCAUAAGCCAAAAUAAAUCUGUCCUACAUUAAGUUGAUGUUUGUGUGGGUAUUUAUCACAGCAUGAAAAGCUCACUGAAAAAUAACAAAA